rnacentral:lncRNA from 1 species
GUGUACAUGAUUUCAUUCUGUUCACUUUGUUAUGUCAAAAAGAAGAAAACACCUUCUGCUUCCUAUUUUCCAAAGGAAAGCAGUUAUACACGAGAUCAGAGUCUAAUUUUAUCUUGGCAAAGAAAAAGAGAAUUUGAGGACUGGGAAUUUUCCAUUCAGGGUAAUAUCAACAAGCUGGUCCACUGAGAGGAGAGCAAGCCUGUUGAAAUUGUUUUUGCUUUCACAGCUUUUUCCUGUCCGGGGAGCAGGAGAAGCCAUGGCUGAUAUAUCCAGUGAUGGAGAAAGAGAGGCGAACAUGCCUGGCCUCAACAUCCGCAACAAAGAAUUCAACUAUCUUCAUAAUCGAAAUGGUUCUGAACUUGACCUUUUGGGGAUGUGAGAUCUACUUGAAAACCUUGGAUACUCAGUGGUUAUAAAAGAGAAUCUCACAGCUCAGAUGGUGCUGGGAUUGUUUGGUUCACCACUGACAGUGGAAAAGCCAGUGCAGAUACUCAUGGUCGGCUCUUGCAAGGUAACAUCUGUAAUGAUGCUGUUACAAAGGCUCAUGUGGAAAAGGACUUCAUUGCUUUCAAAUCUUCCACACCACGUUCAACAUUCAUUUGAGACCCCAAAUAUACUGACCCAGCUGCCCACCAUUGAAAGACUAUCCAUGACACGAUAUUUCUAUCUCUUUCCUGGGAAUUAAAACUCAUAAGAAGCAACUCAGGAAAAUGAAGGCAUUAUGGUGUCUAUGAAUCUGCUAUUAGAAAAGGUCAAUUUUUGAUUAAGAAUAUUUUUAUACCAAACUGCUCAGCUGUCCACCUUUUCAAAUACCAGGCUAAAA